UACGGGGGGAGCAAGCGUUGUUCGGAUUUACUGGGCGUAAAGGGCGCGUAGGCGGCCACUGCAAGUCAGUUGUGAAAUCUCCGGGCUUAACCCGGAAAGGUCAACUGAUACUGCAGGGCUAGAGUGCAGAAGGGGCAACUGGAAUUCUCGGUGUAGCGGUGAAAUGCGUAGAUAUCGGUAGGAACACCAGUGGCGAAGGCGGUCUCCUGGAGCUAACUUGACGCUGAGACGCGAAAGCUGGGGGAGCGAACGGG
rnacentral:rRNA from 1 species